rnacentral:lncRNA from 1 species
UUGUAUAAUUUUUUUGUUUCAAUUGCUUUAUCCUAAAACUGUUUUUUCCUCACCGUGCAGAUAAAACAAAUAGGACGUGUUAAACUUAUUUUUCUAAGUGGACAAUUCCGGUAUGUAGUUUUCUACAUUGGCUAUGCACACUACAGAGCAGAAAGUACAAGUAAAGCAUGGAUCUUGAUUGUUCAUGAGGUACCUUUUAAUGGCAU